GUGCUCUCUUCCACAGCACAUAUACUAAAAUUGGAAAGAUACAGAGAAGAUUAGCAUGGCCNCUGUGCAAGACAAAAAAAUUAACAAAAUGUUGUACAAAUGUUU
rnacentral:snRNA from 1 species